AGUCACUGACAUUAGAUACCCCCGUAGUCCCAGCCGUAAACUAUGCUCGCUAGGUGUCAGGCAUGGCGCGACCCGUGUCUGGUGCCGCAGGGAAGCCGUGAAGCGAGCCACCUGGGAAGUACGGCCGCAAGGCUGAAACUUAAAGGAAUUGCGGGGGAGCACAACAACGGGUGGAGCCUGCGGUUUAAUUGGACUCAACGCCGGACAACUCACCGGGGACGACAGCAAUAUGCAGGCCAGGCUGAAGACCUUGCCUGAAUCGCUG
rnacentral:rRNA from 1 species